rnacentral:rRNA from 1 species
UACGGAGGGGGCUAGCGUUGUUCGGAAUUACUGGGCGUAAAGCGCGCGUAGGCGGCUUUGUAAGUUAGAGGUGAAAGCCCAGGGCUUAACCCUGGAAUUGCCUUUAAGACUGCAUCGCUAGAAUCGUGGAGAGGCGAAUGGAAGUACCUCGGUGGUAGAGCGGUGAAAUGCGCAGAUAUCAGGAGGAACACCGAUGGCGAAGGCAGCUCGCUGGGACGGUACUGACGCUGAGACGCGAAAGCGUGGGGAGCAAACAGG